ensembl:lncRNA LINC01206 long intergenic non-protein coding RNA 1206
GAGAGAAUUUGAACGCUCUUGGCAGUUGAGAUUCAGACCUUGACAGUUGUAACCGAUAGACUGGGCUGGGGCAACGCUGAUGAAAGGCAAAUUCCUGAGAGAAAAAUCACCCAGAUUUUUCAGUGCCUUCUCUAGCUUUCUAGAAGUUGUUAUGAGUGGACCUGACUACCUAGAGAGAGUAAUACAGAAGCUCCGUGCCGAUCACAGCUACCUCAUUACCAUGUUCCUCCAAGAUGGCCGCCCCUGAGGAGAAUCAUCAACUGGGCUUUACGGAAGAGAGAAAUCCAAACGACCAUCAGCAACAAAUGAAAGACUGAAGUUGAAAGGCAAGUCUUCAGAUUUGAAGAAAUCCAUAAUUUUUGAAUGCUGGCCGAGGUCUGUGACCUCUGACUGAAUGGUUUCCAAGCUCCGAAUUCCUAGGUGAUGUUUUCAUUUGUUCACACUUGCUGAAGAAGGGAAAGGCUCUCUGAUUUACGUGUAAGCAAAACAAUCUAAACAGUAGGAUAAAAUCAUGUUGGAAUGGAGUUCUGUGUGGAUGCUCCUUUGAACCAAAUCAGUUCCACAACUGACCCUGUCAGGGACAUAUAAAUUUAGCAUUUUGGUGUGGAUACAGAAGACGAGAUUAACACAGAUCAAGUAACAUGGAAAUAAAAAAGGAGACAAUGCUGGAUGAUACAGGGGCAGCCAACAAGAGGAGAAAACCCAAGCAUUGGCAAAUGCCUCAUUAUCCAAAGAACACUGAGGUGUGGAGCAAAACUGUGUUGAAUGAACUGUAGAUGGAAAUUCUCUCCUUCCCACCGAGGAGCCGCUGCAGGUUGCAGACUCCCAGAAUGCCACACUGAGAAGAGGAGGGCUAAAAUUCUAGAGCAGAAUCCCUGGGGCAGCCCCUGCUGAAGAAGGGUGCAUCUGUUGAGAAUCUCAUCACCGCCCCCACCCCGCCCAGCCUUCAAUUUAGAGGAAUUUCUAGUUCACGCAGAAUGAAGACAAGAUCACAUAAGUGAGGACGACGCCCCAUUUACAAGUGUGAUUUGGAAGACUGAAGUGGAAACCUUGGGAAGGGGCCUCAGAGUAUGUCAGCUGGGGUCAGACGGGAACAGGAGUCUGGCUCAACACACAUUUAUUGCACUCCUGUUUCAUGCCAAGAAAUGUACCAAAAUCUGGGACUGUGUAACACAGCAAAGGAAAAGACUCAUCUCCAGGAAGCCCCCUUGUCUAGGAAGAGAAAUUGAAUAUCAGCAUAAGGUGGUGAAAAGCUGUGAAGGAGAUGAGUGCCAGGAGUCCAUGGAGGAAGGAUUCUAGCCUGGACAGAGUCUCCAUGAAUUGCAAGGGAAAACAAGUGGUACACUGGUAUUUCUAUUUGAUAACCUGUUCUCUUUGGAAUUCCGGUUAGAAAUCAAAGGCUUACUUGAGUUUUAAUGCUUUCGGGACUUCAAAUGCUUUUCUAUCUUCCUAAUAAUAUAUUAACAUUUUCUGAAGACAACAUAUAUGUGGAAAACAACAUUAUUUACUCAAAUAAUUUUUUUUGAAAAAUGGACCAAAAAAAAAGAAAAACCAACAAAAA